rnacentral:misc_RNA from 1 species
GAUGAAGAACGUAGCGAAAUGCGAUAAGUAAUGCGAAUUGCAGAAUCCGUGAGUCAUCGAAUCUUUGAACGCACAUUGCGCCCCUUGGUUAUUCCGAAGGGCAUGCCUGUUCGAGCGUCAUUAUCACCCCUCAAGCCCUCGGCUUGGUGUUGGACGGUUUGGUGGAGGCCCCCUCGGGGGUUCCUGCCCCUCCCAAAGACAAUGACGGCGGCCUCGUUGGACCCCCGGUACACUGAGUUCUUCACGGGACACGUAUCGGACACAUGGGUUUACGGGACACGGUCUGCCUCCCCUCAGGGAGAAUCUUUCUAAGGUUGACCUCGGAUCAGGUAGGGAUACCCGCUGAACUUAAGCAUAUCAAUAAGCGGAGGA